AGUGAACGCUGGCGGUAGGCCUAACACAUGCAAGUCGAACGGCAGCACAGUAAGGGCUUGCUCUUACGGGUGGCGAGUGGCGGACGGGUGAGGAAUACAUCGGAAUCUACUUUUUCGUGGGGGAUAACGUAGGGAAACUUACGCUAAUACCGCAUACGACCUACGGGUGAAAGCAGGGGAUCUUCGGACCUUGCGCGAUUGAAUGAGCCGAUGUCGGAUUAGCUAGUUGGCGGGGUAAAGGCCCACCAAGGCGACGAUCCGUAGCUGGUCUGAGAGGAUGAUCAGCCACACUGGAACGGAGACACGGUCCAGACUCCUACGGGAGGCAGCAGUGGGGAAUAUUGGACAAUGGGCGCAAGCCUGAUCCAGCCAUACCGCGUGGGUGAAGAAGGCCUUCGGGUUGUAAAGCCCUUUUGUUGGGAAAGAAAAGCAGCAGGUUAAUACCCCGCUGUUCUGACGGUACCCAAAGAAUAAGCACCGGCUAACUUCGUG
rnacentral:rRNA from 1 species